GGGAUAUGUUGGAAAUUGGAUCAUUUUAUAAGGAUAUAUAUGCAAAAAGAAGGGAAAAAAAAGUUUGAAAUGUCUAUAAUAAUUUAGUUAUAAAAAAUAUAAGAUGGAAGAGAGUAAGAAGAGGUAUUAGUGUUUACUGAUGGAUACUUAGAACUUGUUUGGUUCACUUAUUUUAAACUCUGGAAUCAGAAUGAGUUUAGCUGAUUUUGAUAGUUGUUAUUUGGAGAUAUCGAACAGGUUGCAUUUUUAUAUAUUUU
rnacentral:lncRNA from 1 species